UACCAUAAACCAUUAAGAAGGUCAGUACUUAUUACAUGGACUGCAAUGCUUUAAAAUAAGAAAAUGUUUAACUUUUUUUAGACUAAUUAGUGGCAGCAGCAGGUGGAGCUAAUUAAGGUAAAUGUUUGCAGGGAAGUGACUAAGAUAUGUGGAGUAGAAAUGUCCAGACAGUCCAAAACUCAAAAACCAAAUUAUGACAAUUAAUUAGAAGCAUAAAAGUGAACUGCAGCUCCAUGAGAGGAUGAUGGAGACUAAGAUACAAAAUAACUUUGUCCCACGAUGGGAAAUUCAAGACUUCUGACAUGUCAUAAAAGCAGAAGCAGAAACACACAUUGUAGGGUAUAAAGUCAGUCUCUGUUCUCAUUAACAGUUCCCCUUCAGCCUUCAUCUGAUGUUGAUGUUAAAACUUUUACAACAUGGACAGAAAAGCACAAAAAAGUCUGGAUGGUUCGUCUGAGAAGAACCCAAAUGUUUCUUCAUCUGCAGAGAAAACUGAAGAAGCUGACUAUAUCAAUGUAGAUAAAGUUGCUGUGAAGAACAUCACAUCUAUUCCAGGUCACCAGUUUCCUUACUUCUCAAAGUUUUUCCCACUACUAGCAUCUUAUUGGCUGAUUCUGCUGGUCGUUAUCCCGCUUCAUAUCCACUUUCACCUUAUUGCUCAGUUUGAGCUGAAACAGCUGAGAGUCAACCAAACAUUGCUGCUGGAGGAAAAUUACAAUCUGACGACAGAACUUGAUAAAGUGAUGAAUAAAACCCAGCAGCUACAGACAGAAGAAAAUCCUCACAGAACAAAUAGAAACUAUGGAGAAAACUUGGAAUGAGCAGAACAUCAGUCGAGCUCAGUGGAGCAUUGAUGAAUACUGUCCUAAAGGAAAUAAUGGUAUGAUUAGAUCUUAGACCAUCUAAGUCCAAAAAUAACUAAUUAUAACAUUAUGGAUGAUAACUACUGUUUGAAUGCUUUGGUUUCAGGGAGAAGUUGCACUUCGUGCCAGGAUGGAUGGAAAGAACAAUUUUCCAGCUGUUAUGCAUGUCAUGACGCUAAGCCCUCUGAUCAGAGAAACUGGGAAGGUGCACGAGAGCAUUGCUGGGCGAAGAACUCAGAUUUGACUGUUGUGUUUGAUCAAACAGAAAAGGUGAUGAGAACUGUGGAACAAUUUCAAUUGAUUGAAAAAGUUUACAGACUAAAUAAAGCCUACCUCCCAUGUUUAAUGGGUGGAUGCCUACUUAUCUUUAACAGUGCACGUAGAAACAGAAAGUCAUGUGAAAAUUUUAACUUGUCUGAUUUUUUGACGUUCUCCUCAGGAUUAUGUCAAUACAUGGAGUCCAGCUAUAGAAGGCAUCCAAGGAUACUGGAUUGGCCUCAGAGCUGAAGGAGGAAAAUGGAGAUGGAUUGAUGGAAGUGAUCUGACCAAUCAGUGAGAGACACAUUAUUUCUUAAACUUUGUAGAAAACAAAUCUAUCAGCCUUGAUCUAACAGAUGUUUUUCCUUAGAGCCUGGAUACAGCAGCCGCCUGUUGAUGGUCAGUGUGUAACUUCUCUCCAGGGCAGAGAAUGGAGAUCAGUGAGCUGUAAUGAAACAAACGGAUGGAUCUGUGAGAAGAAGGCUUUAUCUGUUUAGACAUGAAAUAUUCUGAACCUGUCCUACAUGCAAAUAAACAAAAAGCUUCACAGAUCUCUUAUGUAAACAUUUGCAGUUUUUUUUAAAACAAAAUAGCUCACACUGUAAAAUAGCUUUUUAAAUACAUCUCAUAAUUAUUGUAACACAUGUAGAGCUAUUAACUUAACACCAUCAUUUAGAAAAAGUUUUAGUGGCACAGAACAGCUGUUUAUAUAAAAAUAGUUUGUAGUUUUGAGUUUUUUCUGAUUAUUUUGAGCUGCAAUAUUUACAGUUUAUUAAUAGAUUCAUGAAAAACAGACAUGAUUUACUUGAUGAUUAAUGUUUCAUGAACUUUUUGCUGAUAGUUUUUGAAUGAAUUUUAAUUAUUAUGAUUUUAGGAUCCCCACUUUGUGUUUAACUUUCUUUCAUGGUUAGGAUCCUCAGUAUCCAUAUUUAGAUGCAGCUGCUUGUCUAAAGA